UACAGAGGGUGCGAGCGUUAAUCGGAGUUACUGGGCGUAAAGCGUGCGUAGGCGGUGUUGUAAGUUUGGUGUGAAAUCUCCCGGCUCAACUGGGAGGGUGCGCCGAAAACUGCAAGGCUGGAGUAUGGGAGGGGUAGGCGGAAUUCCUGGUGUAGCGGUGAAAUGCGUAGAUAUCAGGAGGAACACCAGUGGUGUAGACGGCUUACUGGACCGUGACUGACGCUGAGGCACGAAAGCGUGGGGAGCAAACAGG
rnacentral:rRNA from 1 species